GACGAACGCUGGCGGCGUGCUUAACACAUGCAAGUCGAGCGGUAAGGCCCUUUCGGGGGUACGACGAGCGGCGAACGGGUGAGUAACACGUGGGUGACCUGCCCUCAGCUCUGGGAUAAGCCCGGGAAACUGGGUCUAAUACUGGAUAUGACUCCAUGACGCAUGUUGUGGGGUGGAAAGCCUUGUGCGGCUGAGGAUGGGCCCGCGGCCUAUCAGC
rnacentral:rRNA from 1 species